GUAACAAGGUUUCCGUUGGUGAACCAGCGGAGGGAUCAUU
rnacentral:rRNA from 5 species